rnacentral:rRNA from 1 species
GGUACGGUGCGCCUGACCCACGGGUGUCAACUCGCGAGUGUUGGAGCGCGCCUACCAUCUCUCUCUAAUGGGACAGGCUGCACUUAACUGGGCGGUCUGUGCGAUCUCAUUAGGUCAUUUACUUUGAAAAAAUUAGAGUGUUUAAAGCAAGCGCUGCGCUGUGAAUACAUUAGCAUGGAAUAAUAAUUUAGGACUUUGCCCCUAUUUGUAUUGGUUUCUAGGAGUGAAGUA